UACGAAGGGGGCAAGCGUUGUUCGGAAUUACUGGGCGUAAAGAGCUCGUAGGUGGUUUGUCGCGUUGUUCGUGAAAACUCACAGCUCAACUGUGGGCGUGCGGGCGAUACGGGCAGACUAGAGUACUGCAGGGGAGACUGGAAUUCCUGGUGUAGCGGUGGAAUGCGCAGAUAUCAGGAGGAACACCGGUGGCGAAGGCGGGUCUCUGGGCAGUAACUGACGCUGAGGAGCGAAAGCGUGGGGAGCGAACAGG
rnacentral:rRNA from 1 species